GGAUGAUAUUACAUUCUUUGUAUCAACUAAAUCUUACAAUAUUUCUCACACACCAAACAAUUUAGAAAAUCAAUUAAAAAAGGUUGGUGUAACAAUCGAAUUCAUACUUGUUAGGGAAGAAUGAGGAAACAUAUUUCUUUUCUUUUCUAUAUUAUAAAAGCAUUGGUUUCGACUGCUUCCUGAUCUUGACAUGUGUGCUUCAUGUCAAAAAAUUUUAUGCCAAGGGCAUUUUAUAUCACCCUAUCAGGAUGACAAUAACCAUACGUGUAGCAAAUAUAAGCUGUUACAAAACACGUGUAUUGUAUCAAUUUCUUCUUCAGAUGUCUUUUGCUCUUUUUUCAAUCUUGUCUCUAUCUUUUCUCCUCUGUUAAACCAGAAGAUCAAACCCAAGUUGUUUCUCUUUUGUGUCGGGUCUGUUUUUUCUUGAAGAUUAUUUCAUACAUGCCAGCUUUAAUUUUUGAUAAUCAUUUUUAUGGCUUUGUGGAUUAUCAUUUGAGUUUUUUCAUGGGAUUUUUUGUUCUAAUAAAAGAGAGAAGGUCCAAUUUGUGGGUUUUACUUGUGUUUUUUUUAAUUCUAUAUCAAAUUCACUGCUUCUAUAAUAUAGAAAAUAGAUUAGAUUGGUCACUUGAGGUUUCUCUCUAUCCUUGAUUUUAAUGGAAGAAGAAGGAUCAAUUUGAUAUUUUUGGUUCUUAGGAUCUGUAGAAAUCUAUAAAUUUUGUACUUUGUCAAUGUAAGGGAAAGAGAGAUGGUCCAUAUCAUGGCAGGGUGAUUUGUAAGGUACUAUGAGUUGGUUGAGCUGUAGUAGUGCACAUGAUAUAUGCAGCUAUGGCGGAUGCAUUAUCUCCUUUGCCCUAAUUAUGCCGAUACAGGUCUUAAAAAUCCCCUAAAAAGGAUAUACAUACACACCCUUAUAUCUCUCUAUACAUAUACUGAGAAGGGUUUUGUCGUUGUUAUUGCUUUUAAGGAUGAGAGGUUAUGAUGAUUAUGGUGUAUAGAGCUCAUAGGGUAAGAGAGUUGGACAUGUAUGUAGUGCAGUCAUGGUAGAUGCAUUGUUUCAUCUCCUUUGCUCAGAAUAUACUGAUCUGAGCCUUAAAAUUGAAACUUUAUGCAAUAUGUACAUAGAAACUUCAUCAUCAUCAUGCAUGAUCAAUGUUGAAAUUGUUGAAAUUGGUUUUUGUUGUUAUGAUUGUUGUUAUGGAUUAGAGCUUGUGAUGAUUUAAGCUAUUUAGAGUUCAUGGGGGAAAGGAAGUUGCAUCCGUAUCUCGACGGGGCGACUCGAAAGGUACUAUGAGCUGAUCGAGCUAUAGUGCAGCUGAGGUCUGCAGCCAUGGAGGAUGCAUUAUCUCUCUUGACCUGAUUAUACUGAUUUGAGCCUUAAGGGUCUGUUUGGUUAGGCUAUUGCAUUGAAACCUUUGAUGAAAAUUGAAAAGUUUCUGCAGUUUGUAUACAUAUAAACACAAUAAUCUUUACAUAUAUACAUAUAUAUAUAUAUACACACAAAAAAAAAAAAAGAAAUGAAGGGUUUAGGGUUUAAGAUUUGACCAUUUUGUUAUUACUUCUUCUCUUUACUCAUCAUCAUCAUAUAUGCUUGCGUUGAAAUCCUUGAAAUGGGUUUUUUGUUGUCAUUUAUAUUGUCGUUGGUGGUGGUGGUGUUACAAUGUGAGGUUGUGAUGAUUAAGGUGUCUAGAGUUCAUAAGGUAACAGAGUUAUGCCCGUAGCUUGGCGGGGCAACCUGAAAGGCCUUAUUUGAAGAGCAAUUGUGGUUCUGUAGCCAUGUUUGACGCAUUAUCUCCUUUGUCGUGAUUAUAACAAUUUGAGCCUUUUUAUCUAUAGUUUCUAUAUGUUACAUAUAUAUCUCUCUUAAUAAAUACAUAUAUAUAUAUAUAAUCAUCUAUGAAUUUUGAAAAUAAGGCAAAUAGAGACGUAUUGAGGUGUCUUUUAAUGGUGGUUGCCCUCUCUCUGUUUCUCCACAGACGAAAAAAUAAAGUAAAAAAACACCAUUUAUAUUAAGGGUUUGUUUGGUUAAGCUGUUGUACUGAAAAUCAAAAGUUUCUACAAUAUGUAUAGAUGUAUAUACACAUAUCUUAAGGGUCUGUUAAGCUAAGUUGUUGUUUCGAUUGGCUUAUUUUAUGUGCUUUUAAGAACACUUUUGUUGCUUCUUUACCUCUUCCUAUUUAUCUAUGAGGUUGUGAUGAUGACUAAUAAAGUCUUUCUAGAGUUAGGUUGGGUAUUUUGGGCUUACCCCGUAUCUUGGCGGGGCGACCCGGUAAGGCUUGCAUCUAUGGCAGAUGUUGUUUCCUUUUGCCCUGCUUAUAAUAUUUUGAGACUUAAAUCAAAAGUUUCUGUAGUAUGUAUACAUACUCACAUUCAUCAUUCAUUUAUCUCUUUAUAUUUCUUUUCUAUAUUAUAGAAGCAGUAGUUUCGAUAUGUGUGCUUCAUGUCAAAAAAUAUUUAUAGCAAGAGCAUUGUAUUCAUUUACUCUAUGAAGAUGUAAUGUAUAUAUGUGUACCUUUUAUGUGAUAUGAAAAUAUCAUAUCCAUAUGGGAAGAUGGAAGGUCGUUGGUAUCUUCUUCUGUGCCUAGAAAAACAACUAACUAACCGAGCAAUACGACAAAGCCAAAAUCUGCAGCUGAGGUAUUGGAUUAAGAAUGUUGGUUUCAGGAUUUUGUCUGUACUGAUUUGAUGAUAUUACCUUUUUGGUUCACAUGUCAUGUUUCUUCCUAUACCUUUCUUCUUUUAGAUCCAUAUGUCGGUAGGUUUCCAUGAGAAGGGAAGGCUACAAGAAAAGAAGUCAUCAUUCAGUAAAAAGAACGUGUCAGCUGUGAAAAUCUUUAUCUAUGACUUAAUGUCUUUUGGAGACUCUUCUCUUUCCUAUAAGGCAUUUCAAGAAGUUGAGGAUGAAAGAGAACAAAGAAGAAAUUCUAGGUUGAAACAGCAUAAGAAGAGCCAAGAGCGCAUAAAACAAUGUUGAAUGGCAAUUUCUCAAGCUUAGAGAGGAUUCACGUCAAGUUAAUGGCAAUUUUCUCAACUGGCUUUCCAGAGGCAAUGAAAAAUGGUACUCAUCUACUGUUGCCCCAACUAAGCAUUCUCAUACAACAAAACUUUGAAGUCAUGUAAUGAAUCUCAAAUUCCCUCAUCAAGCACAAAAGGGCAUCAGGUGGUUUUGGUGGAAUUACAAUUAACAACAGCGAUGAGAUUCCAAUCCCUUUUAAUUUUCUAGGUGGUGAUAUUACAAUUAUGAUUGGUGAUUGGUACACCAGAAAUCACACAAUUAGUCUUUACGCAAUGAUACAAUGAGUUUAUGGUAAAGUUAAACUUGUGUAGUUUAGUGUGUAAUGUGCACCUUUAGUUGUUGUUGAAUGUAGUCUUUGUGGAGCACUCUUCUAGUUGGGAAAGAUCUGGGCAAAUUAGAUGGUGUUUUAAUUAAUGAGAAAGGUUUGUAUAGAUACAAUGACACUAUUGUGCCUGAUGGAAUUAUGAAACAAUUACUAUCCAUCCAGGUAAGCUACAUUGUGCUAGAAGUGGACUAAUUAUUUAAAAAUAGUAAGAUGUUGUCAUUAGAC